rnacentral:rRNA from 1 species
UACAGAGGGUGCGAGCGUUAAUCGGAAUUACUGGGCGUAAAGCGUGCGUAGACGGUUAUUUAAGUCGGGUGUGAAAGCCCCGGGCUCAACCUGGGAAUUGCAUUCGAGACUGAAUAGCUAGGGUACGGUAGAGGGAAGCGGAAUUUCCGGUGUAGCGGUGAAAUGCGUAGAUAUCGGAAGGAACAUCAGUGGCGAAAGCGGCUUCCUGGACCAGUACCGACGUUCAGGCACGAAAGCUAGGGGAGCAGACAGG